UGGCGGACGGGUGAGUAAUGUCUGGGAAACUGCCUGAUGGAGGGGGAUAACUACUGGAAACGGUAGCUAAUACCGCAUAACGUCGCAAGACCAAAGAGGGGGACCUUCGGGCCUCUUGCCAUCGGAUGUGCCCAGAUGGGAUUGGCUAGUAGGUGGGGUAACGGCUCACCUAGGCGACGAUCCCUAGCUGGUCUGAGAGGAUGACCAGCCACACUGGAACUGAGACACGGUCCAG
rnacentral:rRNA from 1 species